rnacentral:rRNA from 1 species
ACUCUGGGACAAGCCCUGGAAACGGGGUCUAAUACCGGAUAUGACUGUCCAUCGCAUGGUGGAUGGUGUAAAGCUCCGGCGGUGCAGGAUGAGCCCGCGGCCUAUCAGCUUGUUGGUGAGGUAGUGGCUCACCAAGGCGACGACGGGUAGCCGGCCUGAGAGGGCGACCGGCCACACUGGGACUGAGACACGGCCCAGACUCCUACGGGAGGCAGCAGUGGGGAAUAUUGCACAAUGGGCGAAAGCCUGAUGCAGCGACGCCGCGUGAGGGAUGACGGCCUUCGGGUUGUAAACCUCUUUCAGCAGGGAAGAAGCGAAAGUGACGGUACCUGCAGAAGAAGCGCCGGCUAACUACGUGCCAGCAGCCGCGGUAAUACGUAGGGCGCAAGCGUUGUCCGGAAUUAUUGGGCGUAAAGAGCUCGUAGGCGGCUUGUCACGUCGGUUGUGAAAGCCCGGGGCUUAACCCCGGGUCUGCAGUCGAUACGGGCAGGCUAGAGUUCGGUAGGGGAGAUCGGAAUUCCUGGUGUAGCGGUGAAAUGCGCAGAUAUCAGGAGGAACACCGGUGGCGAAG